rnacentral:rRNA from 1 species
CCUCAUAAACACUGCCUAUGUUCUUAACGGCAGCGCCGGGAGAACCUUGCUUUUCCUGCCGGCGAGUGGCGAACGUUGUGAGUAAUACAUCGGACCGUGUCCUGUAGUGGGGGAUAACUAGUCAAAAGAUUAGCUAAUACCGCAUACGACCUGAGGGUGAAAGUGGGGCACCGCAAGGCCUCGUGCUAUAAGAGCGGCCGAUGUCUGAUUAUCUAGUUGGUGGGGUAAAGGCCUACCAAGGCGACGAUCAGUAGCUGGUCUGAGAGGACGAUCACCCACACUGGGACUGAGACACGGCCCACACUCCUACGGGAGGCAGCAGUGGGGAAUUUUGGACUGUGGGCGAAAGCCUGAUCCAGCAAUGCCGCGUGUGUGAAGAAGGCCUUCGGGUUGUAAAGCACUUUUGUCCGGAAAGAAAUGGCUCUGGUUAAUACCUGGGGUCGAUGACGGUACCGGAAGAAUAAGGACCGGCUAACUACGUGCCAGCAGCCGCGGUAAUACGUAGGGUCCAAGCGUUAAUCGGAAUUACUGGGCGUAAAGCGUGCGCAGGCGGUUGUGCAAGACCGAUGUGAAAUCCCCGAGCUUAACUUGGGAAUUGCAUUGGUGACUGCACGGCUAGAGUGUGUCAGAGGGGGGUAGAACUCCACGUGUAGCAGUGAUAUGCGUAGAGAUGUGGAGGAUACCGAUGGCGAACGCAGCCCCCUGGGAUAACACUGACGCUCAUGCACGAAGCGUGGGGAGCAAACAGGAUUAUAUACCCUGGUAGUCCACUCCCUACACGAUGUCAUCUAGUUGUUGGGCGAUUCAUUUCCUUAGUCACGUAGCUAACCGCGUGAAGCUGACCGCCUGGGGAGUACGGGCCGCAAGAUUAAAACUCAAAGGAAUUGACGGGGACCCGCACAAGCGGUGGGACGAUGUGGAUUAAUUUCGAUGCAACGCGAAAAACCUUACC